rnacentral:rRNA from 1 species
ACGGGUGAGUAAUGCUUAGGAAUCUGCCUAUUAGUGGGGGACAACAUCUCGAAAGGGAUGCUAAUACCGCAUACGUCCUACGGGAGAAAGCAGGGGACCUUCGGGCCUUGCGCUAAUAGAUGAGCCUAAGUCGGAUUAGCUAGUUGGUGGGGUAAAGGCCUACCAAGGCGACGAUCUGUAGCGGGUCUGAGAGGAUGAUCCGCCACACUGGGACUGAGACACGGCCCAGACUCCUACGGGAGGCAGCAGUGGGGAAUAUUGGACAAUGGGGGGAACCCUGAUCCAGCCAUGCCGCGUGUGUGAAGAAGGCCUUUUGGUUGUAAAGCACUUUAAGCGAGGAGGAGGCUACCGAGAUUAAUACUCUUGGAUAGUGGACGUUACUCGCAGAAUAAGCACCGGCUAACUCUGUGCCAGCAGCCGCGGUAAUACAGAGGGUGCAAGCGUUAAUCGGAUUUACUGGGCGUAAAGCGCGCGUAGGUGGCCAAUUAAGUCAAAUGUGAAAUCCCCGAGCUUAACUUGGGAAUUGCAUUCGGUACUGGUUGGCUAGAGUAUGGGAGAGGAUGGUAGAAUUCCAGGUGUAGCGGUGA